rnacentral:rRNA from 1 species
UACGUAGGGUGCAAGCGUUGUCCGGAAUUAUUGGGCGUAAAGAGCUCGUAGGCGGUCUGUCGCGUCGGCUGUGAAAACUCGGGGCUCAACCCCGAGCCUGCAGUCGAUACGGGCAGACUAGAGUACUGCAGGGGAGACUGGAAUUCCUGGUGUAGCGGUGAAAUGCGCAGAUAUCAGGAGGAACACCGGUGGCGAAGGCGGUGUCCUGGGCCGAUCCUGACGCUGAGGAGCGAAAGCGUGGGGAGCGAACAGG